rnacentral:rRNA from 1 species
GACGAACGCUGGCGGCGUGCCUAAUACAUGCAAGUUGAGCGCUGAAGGUUGGUACUUGUACCGACUGGAUGAGCAGCGAACGGGUGAGUAACGCGUGGGGAAUCUGCCCUUGAGCGGGGGACAACAUUUGGAAACGAAUGCUAAUACCGCAUAAAAACUUUAAACACAAGUUUUAAGUUUGAAAGAUGCAAUUGCAUCACUCAAAGAUGAUCCCGCGUUGUAUUAGCUAGUUGGUGAGGUAAAGGCUCACCAAGGCGAUGAUACAUAGCCGACCUGAGAGGGUGAUCGGCCACAGUGGGACUGAGACACGGCCCAAACUCCUACGGGAGGCAGCAGUAGGGAAUCUUCGGCAAUGGACGAAAGUCUGACCGAGCAACGCCGCGUGAGUGAAGAAGGUUUUCGGAUCGUAAAACUCUGUUGGUAGAGAAGAACGUUGGUGAGAGUGGAAAGCUCAUCAAGUGACGGUAACUACCCAGAAAGGGACGGCUAACUACGUG